CACGCUGUAAACGAUGAUCACUCGUUGUUGGAUGGUAACAUUCAGUGGCCAAGGGAAACCGAUAAGUGAUCCACCUGGGGAGUACGAUCGCAAGGUUGAAACUCAAAGGAAUUGACGGGGGCCCGCACAAGCGGAGGAGCAUGUGGUUUAAUUCGAUGAUACGCGAGGAACCUUACCCGGGCUUGAACGUAAGACGAAUAUAGUGGAAACAUUAUAGCCUACGGGCGUCUUGCGAGGUGC
rnacentral:rRNA from 1 species